GUCGUUAUUCAUUAUUUCUGUGUGCAAGAAACUGACGGGGUUACGAAAUAAUACAAAUACAGUCCUUUCUAGAAAAUCCAGUUUCUUCACAUUUGGUCCUUCUGAGCCGGCCGACUGACGCCCUGGACAUCGCUGGAACCCCUGGGGGGGGUUGCCUGAAAACCGCAUGCGGUCUGAGAUCACAGCCUCAGCAUUGACACAUCCGCCUUCAGGAUCAGCGGCCCUCGCCCCGGAUCCAGUUUUGCCCUCGGCCACGUCGGACCCUCAUCAAAUAACGAGGUUCAUUUCUUGAAACUCUGCAUCCCGACCAGAAGGCCCCUGUUGGUGACCUGCUUUACUCGAAGGCCAUUCAACGGACUGAUUGGUCACAACGGUAGUGGACAGGACCCUUCAAGGUUCUCCUCCUCAUGCCAACUGCAGUACACAUUGCUGACUGACCCUCCUGGAUUCACGUAAGCCACUGUAAAUUGCUGAGAGCCUAUGAGACUGACAUUUUGAGACACACCCCUGGUUGAAGUCCAACUACGGAGCCGCCGCAGUGUGACACUACUCCUGGUGAGGGGAACUCCCUGGUGUGUUUCCUCUAGCGCUCCUCUCUUCCAGCUACAGUGAGCUUCGAACCAGCUAACAUGGGUCCAGCUGUUGCUCGUGGUUUCAUCUUCAACUUUUAUUCCCUCUUCCUCUGGAGAUCUCACUCACAUCAUCAGUGAGGUCAAGGCCCUUAAAUCACAAAUUUCUUCUCAGAUGACUGACGCCUACUGGUCUGGGUCCCCACUUUAUUGUUUUACUUCUGGUGGAGUGUACUGAUAAAACUAGUCACUCCGGUCCUCUGUGUGUUGUUUUUCUUUUUUUCUUUUCGUCACCUGUUUGAUUACAUGUAUCAAAUGAAUGAUCGCUGUCAGGCCAACUCUAUCAGCAUUAUGCCUACAAUUAACCUAAUUCGCAUCCGCUCGUGGUUGAAACUGGUCUUUACAGAUUUAUUUUAUUCUUUUUCUUUUGUUUGAUUUGAAUUUGUUUAUUUUCUUUAUUUCUUAAUUUGUUUCUUGUUCUAUGUAACUUUAAUUAAUGAUUUUGUGCCGAGGUUUGGACUGGUGAUGCAUGCGUAUCCUUAGUGAUGGCUGCUGAGGGGCACAGAGCCGUUGAUGAGUUUUGCCCUCCCUGACUGCUCACUGAAUGUUUCACACAGAUGGUAUAAGUUUAGCCCUGGAGGUUUUCGCAUCAACACUCAUGUAUCACCUACCACCUCUGAUAUACUCAUUUAUUCACGUUGAUUUUAAUGUUCUUGUGUAUUUACCUGUAUCUACACCUUUGUUUUCGAUGCAGAGCCGAUAUGAUGCCUAUACUGAAAUUCUUCAUGAAGUGGUAUAUGGUUGAUGAUGAGAAGAGUUCUGCUGACUUUCUGUGCACAAUUUUGAUAAUUUUGAUAUGAUAAACAGCGGGGUAUGUUAGGAAUGAUUAGAAACAGAAUAGUUAGACACUCCCUUUUGCAUUUUAUUAAACUAACUUUUACCUUUUAUUACAUUAAUGGCUUAACCUCGAUUUACUAUGUAUUAUCAUCUCAAAAUUAUAUUACACUCCAGACAGAGCACAACCAAGA